AUCCCAAUGACGAGUCCUAAAUGGGACGAAACGCGCAUUCUGGAU
rnacentral:hammerhead_ribozyme from 1 species